rnacentral:rRNA from 1 species
UACGUAGGUGACCAGCGUUGUCCGGAUUUACUGGGCGUAAAGGGCGCGUAGGCGGUCGUGACAAGUCACUUGUGAAAUCUCCGGGCUUAACUCGGAACGGUCAAGUGAUACUGUCGGACUAGAGUACAGAAGGGGCAACUGGAAUUCUCGGUGUAGCGGUGAAAUGCGUAGAUAUCGAGAGGAACACCUGCGGCGAAGGCGGGUUGCUGGGCUGAUACUGACGCUGAGGCGCGAAAGCCAGGGGAGCGAACGGGG